UACGAAGGGGGCUAGCGUUGCUCGGAAUUACUGGGCGUAAAGCGCACGUAGGCGGCUUUCUAAGUCGGGGGUGAAAUCCUGGAGCUCAACUCCAGAACUGCCUUCGAUACUGGAGAGCUCGAGUCCGGGAGAGGUGAGUGGAACUGCGAGUGUAGAGGUGAAAUUCGUAGAUAUUCGCAGGAACACCAGUGGCGAAGGCGGCUCACUGGCCCGGUACUGACGCUGAGGUGCGAAAGCGUGGGGAGCAAACAGG
rnacentral:rRNA from 1 species